GUUGUAUGGUUAAGAGACAAAGCGUACAAGGUGGAUGCCUUGGCAAUCAGAGGCGAAGAAGGACGUGCUAAUCUGCGAAAAGCUCGGAUGAGUCGAUAAGAGGCGUUUAAUCCGAGAUAUCCGAAUGGGGAAACCCGGUGGGUGAAGAACCCACUAUCAUUAUCUGAAUCCAUAGGGUAAUGAGGCGAACCGGGGGAACUGAAACAUCUAAGUACCCCGAGGAAAAGAAAUCAACCGAGAUUUUGUGAGUAGCGGCGAGCGAAAGCGAAAGAGCCUGUUAGUGAUAGCGACAGAGACAGAGGAAUGUGCUGGGAAGCACAGCGAGACAGGGUGAUAGCCCCGUACUCGAAGUCUGGGUCGUGGUACUAAGCUAACGAGAAGUAGGGCGGGACACGUGAUAUCCUGUUUGAAGAAGGGGGGCCCAUCCUCCAAGGCUAAAUACUCCUGAUUGACCGAUAGUGAAGCAGUACUGUGAAGGAAAGGCGAAAAGAACCGGGGUGACCGGAGUGAAAUAGAACCUGAAACCUUGUACGUACAAGCAGUGGGAGCCUGAAAGGGUGACUGCGUACCUUUUGUAUAAUGGGUCAGCGAGUUAUAUUUUGUAGCGAGGUUAACCGGAUAGGGGAGCCGAAGGGAAACCGAGUCUUAACUGGGCGCUUAGUUGCAAGGUAUAGACCCGAAACCCGGUGAUCUAGCCAUGGGCAGGUUGAAGGUUGGGUAACACUAACUGGAGGACCGAACCGACUAAUGUUGAAAAAUUAGCGGAUGACUUGUGGCUGGGGGUGAAAGGCCAAUCAAACCGGGAGAUAGCUGGUUCUCCCCGAAAUCUAUUUAGGUAGAGCCUUGAGCGGACACCUUUGGGGGUAGAGCACUGUUUCGGCUAGGGGGCCAUCCCGGCUUACCAACCCGAUGCAAACUACGAAUACCGAAGAGUGAUACUCAGGAGACACACGGCGGGUGCUAACGUCCGUCGUGGAGAGGGAAACAACCCAGACCGCCGGCUAAGGUCCCAAAGUACUAAUUAAG
rnacentral:rRNA from 1 species